UGUAAGCAAGCGGCAUUCCAUCCACGUUCACUCUCCUCGAUUAACAUUCAUUGACACUUUUUCAGAAGGAGCCGCGAUAGGGCGAGGUGAUGCUAAUGUAUGUUUCCAGCAGCAGUGCCCCUAAAGCUGCAGGAUCUUAUCGUUCCUUCUUCAUGUUGGACUGAACUGUUUCAACUCUUCAUAAGUGAAAACCUCAAAGCCCUAAAGGAGUGUUGUCAAUCGUUUUAGUCACAGUGGGGGAGAAGGAGGCCAUCUACAGUAUGACAGGAGCAGAGGUGUGUUCACCCAGAGAAGGACACCAUCUACAGUAUGACAGGAGCAGAGGUGUGUUCACCCAGAGGAGACCAUCUACAGUAUGACAGGAGCAGAGGUGUUCACCCAGAGGAGACCAUCUACAGUAUGACAGGAGCAGAGGUGUUCACCCAGAGGAGACCAUCUACAGUAUGACAGGAGCAGAGGUGUGUUCACCCAGAGAAGGAGACCAUCUACAGUAUGACAGGAGCAGAGGUGUGUUCACCCAGAGAAGGAGACCAUCUACAGUAUGACAGGAGCAGAGGUGUGUUCACCCAGAGGAGACCAUCUACAGUAUGACAGGAGCAGAGGUGUGUUCACCUAGAGAAGGAGACCAUCUACAGUAUGACAGGAGCAGAGGUGUGUUCACCCAGAGAAGGAGACCAUCUACAGUAUGACAGGAGCAGAGGUGUGUUCACCCAGAGAAGGAGGCCAUCUACAGUAUGACAGGAGCAGAGGUGUGUUCUUAUUUCAUGAACAGAUUUCCUGCUUGCCAUACUAGAGGGAGAUACUGGUUGUCUUUCAAUUCCACACCAUGGGAUGAUUGACCUGGAUCUUAACCAGAACAAACUUCACCAGACACAGUAUAAGUGAGGUCACAGGAAACAGACUGAUUUGUGAAGAGGGACUACAUCACCCAGAAAGCAUUGCAGCAGCGUGUCCCUGGAGGCCCACAGCUUUGUUGGAUGUAAUGCAUUGUUCUCGACCUCUGAGUGUUUGGAAAUACGACUUGUAAACUCGGUGCAUCAAGUUGCAUGCAUUCACGUACCUUGAACCAAGGUCAACCUAAGUACCGAGGUCAACCAUAAACAAACAGUACAGCUAUCAUGCUGGCAUGAAACGGCAGUUGAAAAUAGCUUUUCCAGAUCAGUCUGUUAUAAUCAACAUGUUUGAAUGCUAAAAUGAUAUGGGACUACGUUUUUCUAUUGCAACACUUGAAUCAAGUUCAUUAUUUUGGUUAUGACCUGGACAACUUUUGAGCUCUUGUUUUUUUGCUUUUAAAAAUAGUUCUUAGUACUAACUUUUGUUUGUUUAUAUUAAACUACUAGUCUUUGUUGUUUCCACUAAGACUGUAAUGUCAUUGUAAUUGGCAACAGUGGUGAUUUUAACUCACGUCUCUAAAGAUAAACCACUCCAGUUCUUAGUCCAUGAAAAGAGGUCGAUUUAAUAGUUAAAUGGUAACUUGAUAUAGCUCCUUGUGGUUCGACAUUCAUAUGGUCCCCCUGCCUGUGUGGGAUCGAAUCCCGGUCCCUGUAUCUCCCCUUUAUUCAUAUGUCACAAUAAACAAUAAAACAUUUCUUUAAAAAAACAAA